rnacentral:lncRNA from 1 species
AGUCUCUGAGCUGUGCUUUGCCAGAAGAUGGGAGUAUGCAGUGGGGAAAACUUCACAGUGCUAAUCCUUGUUCAUUUCUUGUUUUCUCUAAGCCUCUGCUGUUGGUUCCUGUCAGAAACCUGUUACUGGACAGGAUAUUUGCUCUGUUCAUCUUGUGAUUUUGAAAGAGCUGAAAGAAAACUAUGAGACAGUUUCAAUUAACAUUUUUGAGUGAUUUGGCUUCCUGCUCACCUAGGAGCCUAGAGGAGGUCCCUGCUCUUUCCUGGCUGCUCAGGGACUCCAGUUUCAUGGGGAAGGAGACUCAGGUAGCAGGAGAUGAGGUCAGUUCCCUCUGUGAUCUCAGCUCAAUGCCUGCUGUAGAGAUGGCUGUAUGGUUCAGUAACUCAUAAAACAGAAACAAAUGGUGUUAUUGGGGUCCAGACACCUCUUUCAGGCUGAAGCUGAGGAUGCUCUGCUGCUCCAGGCCAGGGGAUGAAUGUACAUGUGUCCACUUGCAACCAUGGCAGGACCAUCAAACCCCACCAUGUAGCCACAGACAGAUGGAGGAUGAUGGAUCCUGGAAAGUGGAUGGCAACAUCUGGGAAAGGCAAGCCUUCUGAACAGUUUCUGUUGCUACACCCCAGGGAUCUCCCCCUUUGGAGAGGUGAUGCCAGGGAAAACACUCAGCAGGUCUGGAUCAGU